rnacentral:rRNA from 1 species
GACGAACGCUGGCGGCGUGCCUAACACAUGCAAGUCGAACGGAAAGGCCCUGCUUGCUGGGUCCUCGAGUGGUGAACGGGUGGGUAAUACGUGGGUGAUCUGCCUUGCACUUCGGGAUAAGUUUGGGAAACUGGGACUAUUAUCGGACAGGAACUAUCUCUAGUGUGGUGGUUGGAAAGUUUUUUUGGUGUACGGUGAGGUCGGGGCCGAUCAGCUAUUUGGUGGGGUAAAGGCUUACCGAGGCGGCGAGGGGUAGCCGGCCUGAGAGGGUGGACGGUCACAAUGGACAUUAGAUACGGGACAGACUCCUGCGGGAGGCAGGAGGGGGGAAUAUUGAACAAUGGGCGCAAGGCUGAUGCAGGGACGCGGCGUGGGGGGUGAGGGCUUUAGGGUUGUAAGCUCCUAAGGCUAGUGACGAAGCUUUGUUGUGACGGUACCUAGAGAAGAAGCACCGGCUAACUACGUG